rnacentral:rRNA from 1 species
GUGCGAAAGCAGGUCAUAGUGAUCCGGUGGUUCUGAAUGGAAGGGCCAUCGCUCAACGGAUAAAAGGUACUCCGGGGAUAACAGGCUGAUACCGCCCAAGAGUUCAUAUCGACGGCGGUGUUUGGCACCUCGAUGUCGGCUCAUCACAUCCUGGGGCUGAAGUAGGUCCCAAGGGUAUGGCUGUUCGCCAUUUAAAGUGGUACGCGAGCUGGGUUUAGAACGUCGUGAGACAGUUCGGUCCCUAUCUGCCGUGGGCGCUGGAGAAUUGAGGGGGGCUGCUCCUAGUACGAGAGGACCGGAGUGGACGCAUCACUGGUGUUCGGGUUGUCAUGCCAAUGGCACUGCCCGGUAGCUAAAUGCGGAAGAGAUAAGUGCUGAAAGCAUCUAAGCACGAAACUUGCCCCGAGAUGAGUUCUCCCUGACUCCUUGAGAGUCCUGAAGGAACGUUGAAGACGACGACGUUGAUAGGCCGGGUGUGUAAGCGCAGCGAUGCGUUGAGCUAACCGGUACUAAUGAACCGUGAGGCUUAACCUU